UACGAAGGGGGCUAGCGUUGUUCGGAAUUACUGGGCGUAAAGGGCGCGUAGGCGGUACUUCAAGUCAGGCGUGAAAGCCCUGGGCUUAACCCAGGAAUUGCGUUUGAGACUGGCGUGCUGGAGUGCAGGAGAGGUCGGCGGAAUUCCCAGUGUAGAGGUGAAAUUCGUAGAGAUUGGGAAGAACACCGGUGGCGUAGGCGGCCGACUGGACUGUAACUGACGCUGAGGCGCGAAAGCGUGGGGAGCAAACAGG
rnacentral:rRNA from 1 species